rnacentral:rRNA from 1 species
GUUCCCGGGCCUUGUACACACCGCCCGUCACACCAUGAGAGUUUGUAACACCCAAAGUCGGUGGGGUAACCUUUUAGGAACCAGCCGCCUAAGGUGGGACAGAUGAUUAGGGUGAAGUCGUAACAAGGUAGCCGUAGGAGAACCUGCGGCUGGAUCACCUCCUUU